GGUAUUUCUGUAUUCUUAACUUGGUUUCAAGUUAUUUUUGAGCAAUAUAUAUUUUAUUUUAUUGUGGAUGGGGAGACACUUAUUAUAAUAAUAAGAUGAUUUUUUUCAAAUGUUUUUAAAAAUUUUUUUAAUGUUUUUAUUUUUUUCCAUUAUAGCUGGCUUACAGUGUCCUGUCAAUUUUCAACUGUACAGCAAGGUGACCCAGUCACACAUACACAUAUACAUUCCUUUUUAUCACAUUAUCAUGCUCCAUCAUAAGUGACUAGAUAUAGUUCCCAGUGCUAUACAGCAGAGCAAUAUAUAUUUUGAAAUCAAAAAAGGAAUAGCAUUAUCUAGCACACAUGCCAAAAGUAGGCUUGCUUAACUUCUAAGAGACUAGGCAAAUUGAAGUGCUCUAGCUCUAGAGUACAUGAGACACACAUAGAAAUAAUUAAUGAAAGUAGCAUUUGAAGCUCACCUAAUGCAUGCUGAGAUGAUUUGCAUUUUAAACAAGUCUGCAGGCCACCUUUUGGACCCACAUGACCUCCCAGAGAUCUCAUUUUGAGGCCCCCUGUGCUAGAUUAUAGCUGCUUCACGAGCAGGAAUACUUAUUUGAUUGCUGUAUUUUAAUUCAUAGAAUGGUGGUGUUGAUUGAGUGCCCCAAGCCAAAUAAAUGAGCCACUUGUAUUAGACACUUGUUCACAUUCAUAAAAACAACAAAUAAUAUUAUCUUCAUCAAGGCCUUCCUAAGAAAUAGUGAUUAAAUCAUGUCUGGUGUUUUCUUUGUGUGCAGUUUCUUUCCAAGAGGUGGAAGGAACUGAUUUGCUUUUGAUGAACCUGUAUUGCCUACAAAUUGAUGUCCAUAGAUUUCCUACUUUAUUAAUUGUCCCAGCAAUUUAGCCAGCAAUGAUUUAUAUGAAAUAUUCUCUCUUGUUGCAGGCUCUACAGUCAGCUAAUUGAUUGCUGUAUGAAUUAUGCAUCCUAAGCCAAAUGCAAGGGUGCAUGAAAGAUGCAGCCAAGGUCAUUUCCACCAAAGAGAACUACAGUGACUAAAUGUCUUUUAAGACAGGCUUUAUUACUUUAAUUUUGCUGCUUUCUUCCUUUAUACAUCAAGCCUAGAGUAAUGAGCACACUCUAAAAUCACACCUUUAAUUUAUAAAAAGAUGCAGGCACCCACAGUUCAGUGUUCUGCUGCCUGACAAGGGCUAUAAUUGAAUUAAUUUGGUAAAGCUAAGGAAAGAACCAAAGAUGGCAUACAGGUGCUUUUUAUCUGAUUCCAAAGUAUGCCAAAUUCCAUCAAAUUUGCCUAUAGUUUAUUAAACCUCAAAAGAGACUGCUCCAGAAUUAAGCCCUUUUGACUAGAUGAAGGCCAUGGUGGGACUAGGUACCAAGUAGUUGGCAUUUCAGCAGAUGAUGAAGGACAGUUUUGAAAAGUUACCAUCAGUUAUCAUUUAUUCCUACUAAGAGAAGUGAUCAGCUUUUGCAUUCUUUUGUUCUGUAUCAAAGAGUGAUGCUUUACUGAAGUUUUCAGAAUUAAAGCAAGUAAGUUGGAAUGACGAAAAGAUUUGGAUGUUGAUGUCUCAGUGGCUAGAUUUGAAUGACCACUUAGCCAUUUACUAGUUGAGUGACUUUAGGCAAUUUAACCCUUCUGGACUUCAGUUGCCUUAUGUAAUAAUGGUCAUAAUAAUAUUUUACUUGCAUAGUUAUUGUAAAGAUAAGCAUGACUGUAAGAGUCAGUGAAAUCAAUAAUUUAGCCCCAGAGCUUACAAAACAGCGUAUAUACUCUGGUACAGUAUUCCUCGAAUUACAAAUUGCACGUGAGGUCUCAUCGCCAUAAAACCAUAUCACUAUAUGCCCCCUAAACUAAACAAACGUCUUCUGAUGUGAAUGUAUUCAUAUACUCAGAGCACUCUUCUUGGCAUUAAUCUACACACACAAAAAAGUGCAUGUUUCAGGACAAACUACAGAUACCUGAGGCAUAUGCCACCUCACUGAGACUGUGCUGCAUAAUACAUGUGCUAUGAUUUCACAUUAGAGGAACAGAUAUCUUAAAAGAGAAGAAUCGAUCACAAACGCUUCAGACCAGCACUUCAUGCUUUCAUGCACAUAGCAAUCAGCUGCAGAUCUUGUUGAAAAUGCUGAUUCUGAUUCAGUAGUUUGCAGCUGGGGCCUGAGAUUCUGCAGUCCCAUUAACUUCCCGAUAAUGUGACGCACAAUUUGAGUUGCAAGGCUGAGUGCUUUGCAAACCUAGCUGCAUGUGAGAUUCUCCUGAAGACCUCUAAAGAUAAUGAUGCCUGAGCUUUUCCUCAGAUUAAUUGAAUCUCUGGGGUUAAAUCCUUGGCUUAGGUACUGUUUUAAAGCUCCCUGAGUGAUCUUUAUUUGUAGAGCCAUAGUUGAGAAAUGCUCUAGUGUUUUAGACACAAAGGAAAAUGAUUCCACCCCGUAUCAGAUGAUCUUUCUUUUUUUGGCUCGCCCAUGGCAUGAGGAAAUUCCCAAGCCAGGAAUCAAACCCACACCACUGUAGCAACCCAAGCCAUGGCAGUGACAAUGCUGGAUCCUUAAAUUGAUGUGCCAAAGAACUCCCCAGAUGAUCUUUCUAAAAAUCAUGUAUUAGCAAAGCCCAGACUGUAACAUAGAGAGCCUGAGACCCAGGCUUCAGAAAGCAACAGUGUGGUAGCAGGGCUUCUACAGCUCACCGGGGCCUGGAAGAAGCUUCUUUAACUGUUGUACUUCCCUAAUUGGAGGACAGCUUCUCACCAGGCCCUGGGACAGACUCAACACCUCAUCACCUCUUUGUAAAAAGUGUUACCCCUAUCAGUGAUUCUGGAGCUGUGGUUUGAACCUGGAGUGGAAGGAAAUGCCAUUUAGCAUUGAAGGACCAUAGUAUUCACAGAUUUGACUUACAGAGUAGAAAAUGCGCACCAUGAUGAGGAAAUGUUGCUGCUAUGAAAGGUAUCAGCUCUAUUCACAACUACCUAUGACCUCAUGUCUUUAAAAUUAACACCUGGAAUAUGCUGUCUGUAAGUUAACUCUACUUUUUCUAAGUUCCCAUAGUAGCCUUUCUUGCUUGCUUGUUAUAUUCCCAGCAUUACAGUUUUUAAUUCACUAUCUGGUCUCCCUGUUUCAGUGGCACCUGCAUCAGAUCAACCAGAGCCUUUUAAGACCUUGCUGAUCUGCCCAUCUACCUUAGUUCCUGGUGUUUCUAACAAAUUCCUAUGAGGUACUACUCUUAGACAUUGGUCCAGGAAUUCCCCCCUCCCAUCAUUUGAGAACUACUGCUUUAUUAUUUCAUGAGCUUCAUGGGAAGAGGUUUUGUGCCUUUAUAUUGUCCAUCUACCAGCAGUGCCUAGUAGGUAGAUGGUAUGAACAGAUAUCAUUAGAAUAAAAAGUGACAGCCAUGCCCCCUCUCAUUCAUAGUGAAAACAUUGGAAAUUUCAUCCAGCCCAUAAAGGAUAGUACUUUCCAAAGAAACUCAAAAAAUAACAUUGACUUAGGGAUCUUUGCUACUGUGGACUCUAAAAUGUCUGGGGGCACUUUCCAUGAAAGCUUUUUUUUUUUCCCCCUGAGCCACUAUGUUAUGGUAAUGAAAUCAGCAUGACAUUACCAUGUUGACUGUUGAGACUUCCACUCAAGGUGCAACAGAAGCCGCUCCUCCAGGGCCAUCUGCUUUCAAUUUUUCAGCUGAACCUCCUGAAGACUCACCAGGUGCUAAUUUUGUAUAUGGUUCCAUUGGAAUUGUAUCAUUUUUCUUUAGAUUUUAAUUCCCAAAGAAAGGGAAAGAUUCACUGAAGCAGAAAAGCUCCCUGACCUAGAGAAGAUCAGGAAUGAUUCCUAACUGAACAAAGGCUGGUUCUACAAAUCGUUGACAAAUUGGCUGGGUUUUAGUCAAUCCAUUUUUUAAAGUCACUUCCUGAGUGUGUAGGCUUUUGCAGUCCGGGUCAGCCAUGCAGUCCAUCCAAUUCAGUCUCAGGAGGAGGAAAUAGAUUGAGUGUUUUUAAAUCUGUAUUUUUUACUCUCCUAACCUAGAAAGUUGGUACUUUAGACAAUUUGGAACACAGACGCCACAACUUUAUGAAAAUCUCUGUAGGUGUUGACCUUGUUGCGUCCACUUCUGCUGCAUGUUUCCUUUUCACCUUCAAGUACGUUAGAAAUCACUCACACUUGUUACUUGAAAAGCUAAUAUUGGUCAGUUGAUUAGAAUCUCUUCUAAUCCUCAUGUUAUCUGCAUUCAUAUUAAUAGGAGAGAGACCAACAACCUCAUCCGUGAUUAUUCCAAAUAAAGGCUGAUCUUCAUCUUCACAUAUGAGCACUAAGGUAGAGCAAAACUCAUGACAGAGCAGAGAAAAGGGGGCAUUUUAGCAGCUAAGCCUCAGGCUGACUUGAGCCAAACUAAAUGCUUUGUAAUCUCUCUUUAAACAAAAGCCUUAGCUUCUGUAAUCCUUCUAUUAAUCUAUCCCUAUGAAGCCUCCUGAGGUUGAAGCUGCUGCUCAUGGCAUUUUUAUGAACAACCUAGAUCCCUGCCUACAAAUUGCUUUCCAAAGGUGAUGGCAGCAGUGUCAACUUAGCUCAAGUGUCAUGAGUCAUGUUUCCCUCCCUUUGGAGACACCUGCCCAAGCAAAGCCUAAGCAUCCUUUGCUUGUAUUCUCACUGUACCAAUGUCCUGUUACUGAGCAUCCAUCCAGCCAAGAGCCCUGACUCAUUAAAGUACUGCUGAGAGACUAUUGUGUCUGUAUGCACCUUCUGUUCUUGAAAUCCCAAGGAAAGCUUCCAUUUGUCAUGUAAAUACGAGCCAUGCCAUGUUGUGCUCUGGCUCCACCCGAAGUCUGGUGUCUUUGCUAGGGUCCUUCAGUGCCUGUGAACUUCCACUGCCUUUCCUGAGGGGAAACAGCAAGGAAGCUCAGGCUUCAUGCCAGAUCGAUGCCUGAAGGAGGUACAGUCUAGUCAGGAUUGAAAUGGCUCAUGCUGACCAUUGUGUGCUCACUGUGACUUUCCAAAGGCAUCUUAAUGCUGCUGAUGAAGACCUGCAAAGAGAGACAAUGAAAAGCUGUACUUCAAAUUGACACCUAAAAAUAAAAAUAAAAACAGAUCACUGUGCAGAAACAUCAGAAAGAGCAUAUAACUUUUGAUGCACCUGUUAUAAUGGUAUCAUGUGUUCACGUUGAGUACAGGUAUGUGUGCAUGUGGGUGCAUGAACAUGGGCACACACAGACGCACACACACACACACUCCUACACAAGAGAGCACCUAUCUCCUACCUUUUCAUAAGCCCAAACUUUAGAUAUUUGUGGAAGAGAAACAAUCUCUAGAUAAAUUCUCAUAAGAUAAAGAUGAAUUUUGACUUUAUCUUUGACCUAGAAAUCUAGGCUCAAGCUUAUUGAUAAGAAAGUUACUCUAGCUGGGAAUUUAAAAAAAUCCUGGAUUCUCAAGAAGUGGCCUAGUUUAAUGGAAGGACUAUGGUCUUCAGGAUGAAACAGACCUGGCUCUAAGUCCCUCAUAUCUCAUUUAUUAAUUGUGUGGCUAUGAGCAAAUACCUCAAACUCUCUUAGCCUCAGUUUCCUUGUAUGCAUAAGUUCUUUGGAAGCAUUCAAGAUGUUGUGUGUGAUGUGGCCAGAAGAAGAUAGAACCUAAAUGAAAGGUAGGUAGCUUCUAUUACUGGCCAACUUAUUCUUAUUGGACAAGUUGUGUGACCUUUUGGAGCCCUGGGUUCUUCUUCAUAGAAUCAAUUCUAGUGUUCCAAGAUUCAGAACCUAGUGCUUAUGUGUAGGGAAGGAGAAUCAGGAUUUUCUUAGCAAAAGCUGAUGAAUCUCCUCCUUCUCCUUGGUGUUCCCAGGGAGGGAAUGUGGGGGAAUGGGCAAAAGUUCUGUCUCCACAUAUGUACAGGUGUUAAUAAAAUGGGGCAGGAUGAUGGUAAGUCCUUAGGGAAGAAAGUGUAAAACUUCCACUUUCAUCCUGUCAUCUUGACUUCUCUCUCUCCCUCCCUGCCUCUUCCUGUCUCUUCCCCUCCUCUCUCCUUCUCUCCAAAUGAAAAUAAUUUACUCUUUCAGCCUUACAUUUCAAAGUCAUUAACAUGAACACACUUACAAAACUACAUACAAGCAUUAAGUUAUUGGACAAGAUGCAUGUAAUCAUCAUUGCAGAUCUGUAACUCUAAAUCACAAUUUCUUCAGCUUUCUGGCUGUAAAUUGUGUUCAACUCUGGACUGUCCUAGAAAGUAAUAAUUGAAGAAAAGUUAAUGUUCCUAAAGUGCUUCACAUAGAGAAUACUAGGUAAAGGUAUCACACCAUCUUGCAUUUGGUGAAUUUUCUAAGAGUUCUCUUCUCUACACCCCAUAUUUGAUGUAUAUUAAGCAAUGUCAUCUGUCAUCCAGGACUGUCACUUAGUCCCUUCAAAGGAAACUCAUGCAGCUGGACUCCAUGUCAUCAUUUCAAAGAUGCGUGCAUUUGCAAGGACUCUCUGGAUCCUUUAUUUAAGAAAGAGAAGAAGGAAAGACAUGUGAGGAGUGGAAAGAGAUGAAAGAAUGCUGAAGAGGAAUUCCCAUCGUGGCUUAGUGGAUUCUUUGAGCAAGUCACCACAUGGGCCAACAGAGCUCCUGAGGUAAGGGCCCUACAUAAGGGGAGCUUCCUGGACCUUCCCAUUCCCAAUAGUGUUAGCACCAUUUGUGCUACCUGCCUGGCUUUUGGAG